UUUAAAAUCAAAAAUGAUAACGAUAUCUUGAAAAAAUAAGAUAGCUAUCAGCCUUGCCGUGCAAAAAAGUGGUUUGGGAAAUCCACUCACAUACAGAGAUA